rnacentral:piRNA from 2 species
CAAAUGUGAUUGGCUGUCAUUUGGUGGACA